rnacentral:rRNA from 1 species
UACAGAGGGGGCAAGCGUUAUUCGGAAUUAUUGGACGUAAAGGGCGCGUAGGCGGCCUGGCAAGUGGAAGGUGAAAUCCCUCGGCUUAACCGAGGAACUGCCCUCCAAACUGCUUGGCUUGAGUCCGGGAGAGGUGAGUGGAAUUCCCAGUGUAGCGGUGAAAUGCGUAGAUAUUGGGAGGAACACCAGUGGCGAAGGCGGCUCACCGGACCGGAACUGACGCUGAGGCGCGAAAGCGUGGGGAGCAAACGGG